ACGCACGCUGGCGGCGUGCCUCAUCCAUGCAAGUUGAGCGAUGAAGAUUGGUGCUUGCACCAAUUUGAAGAGCUGCGAACGGGUGAGUAACGCGUGGGGAAUCUGCCUUUGAGCGGGGGACAACAUUUGGAAACGAAUGCUAAUACCGCAUAACAACUUUAAACAUAAGUUUUAAGUUUGAAAGAUGCAAUUGCAUCACUCAAAGAUGAUCCCGCGUUGUAUUAGCUAGUUGGUGAGGUAAAGGCUCACCAAGGCCAUGAUACAUAGCCGACCUGAGAGGGUGAUCGGCCACAUUGGGACUGAGACACGGCCCAAACUCCUACGGGAGGCAGCAGUAGGGAAUCUUCGGCAAUGGACGAAAGUCUGACCGAGCAACGCCGCGUGAGUGAAGAAGGGUGUCGGAUCGUAAAACUCUGUUGGUAGAGAAGAACGUUGGUGAGAGUGGAAAGCUCAUCAAGUGACGGUAACUACCCAGAAAGGGACGGCUAACUACGUG
rnacentral:rRNA from 1 species